rnacentral:rRNA from 1 species
UACGUAGGGGGCUAGCGUUGUCCGGAUUUAUUGGGCGUAAAGAGCGUGUAGGCGGCCAGGUAGGUCUGCUGUGAAAACUCGAGGCUCAACCUCGAGACGUCGGUUGAAACCGUGUGGCUAGAGUCCGGAAGAGGAGAGUGGAAUUCCCGGUGUAGCGGUGAAAUGCGCAGAUAUCGGGAAGAACACCCGUGGCGAAGGCGGCUCUCUGGGACGGUACUGACGCUGAGACGCGAAAGCGUGGGGAGCGAACAGG